CAACUGUCUUAGAAUGUUGCCUUGCCACUUAAAAGGCAGCAUAUCACGUCACACUUGAAUCACACGUUGCUGUUGUGGUUUCAUUUCCUGCACCUCUCAUGUACACAGACUCAGAUAAAAUCUUCCAAGGCUAGAAUAAAGCAAGCAAGCUUUCCAUGCACUGUAUAUCCACAUCAUCUACCUUAAAAACUGCUGAGGAAGAAAAAUGAAAUUUUACAUACUAACAAACUGUUUUUUGAAAAUAUUAGUCUUUUUUCUCAGAUACAGGAACCUGACACGCUACUGCCAUUCUUAUAAAGCCAUAUGUUCUUCAUGUGAUGAGAGUGUAAAUUAUUGGAGAUUUUGGGCCUUCAUUUCAAGUAAUUGGCAGAGACGAUGAUGCAUAAAUAACGUUUGAUGCGUCAGCAGUUUUUGGAUCCAGGACAUGCUACAUAUAUCUUUCAUCAUGGAAUUUUAUACUCUGCAAUAUAACCAUGCCAGAAAUGUUCAUGUGUGAC